rnacentral:misc_RNA from 1 species
UAUUGAACUUGAGUAUAUAUCCUUUUUUAAGUUCUAUUGCUGUUAUUCUUUGGAUGGGCUCUUUAUUGUGCAGUUCUUACUGUAAAUUUGGAAUGAAAUAGUCCACUAUCCUAAUUAGAUAGUCUCCUAAUGCAACGUUACAACUUUAAAGAACAAAUUUCCCUCUUUUGCUGUUCUUGUUAGUAUAAUGUGCAUAAUAUGUCACUUCCAUAUAUGUUAACCAUUUCUUUUUUUAAAUUGCUACCAGGUAUAUUCCAUCUUUGCAGGC